rnacentral:misc_RNA from 1 species
CACCAAUCAAGCCUGGCUUGGUAUUGGGCCCCGGGGGUGACCCGGGCCUCAAAGUCUUCGGCUGGAAAGCUCUGAUCUCAGCGUCGUGGUUAAACAUUCGCGAAGAGAGGAGUUGACUGUGCCGUUAAACACAUCAAA